rnacentral:rRNA from 1 species
UACGGAGGGUGCAAGCGUUAUCCGGAUUUAUUGGGCUUAAAGGGCGCGUAGGCGGUCUAUUAAGUCAGUGGUGAAAGCCCCAAGCCUAACUUGGGAACUGCCAUUGAUACUGAUGGUCUUGAGUACAUUUGAGGUGGGCGGAAUGUGUCAUGUAGCGGUGAAAUGCUUAGAUAUGACACAGAACACCGAUUGCGAAGGCAGCUCACUAAACUGUAACUGACGCUGAGGCACGAAAGCGUGGGGAGCAAACAGG